UAUAUAUUUAGUAUAUAUCUAUUAAUGAUGAAAUUAUAAAUCGCCAAGAUCAAUGAAUGCUAUGAUUAAUAUAGUAUUUGCUAACUGAAUUUGUUAAAUGAAUAUAUAUAUAUAUUGUUUUAUACAUAUUAGAAUAUAAUUGUUAUUAAAAAAAGAUAAAAUUUCAGGUUCAUAUGACAAUUAUUUUUGAGAAGAAUCUUACAAUAAAGUGUUUAUGUACCAAUUAUUUGAAUGUAAUGUAAAAAAGAAUAUUACAAUAAAAUGUUCAUAUGACAAUUAUUUUUGAGAAGAAUCUUACAAUAAAGUGUUUAUGUACCAAUUAUUUGAAUGUUAUGUAAAAAAGAAUAUUACAAUAAAAUGUUCAUAUGACAAUUAUUUUUGAGAAGAAUCUUACAAUAAAGUGUUCAUAUGACAAUUAUUUUUGAGAAGAAUCUUACAAUAAAGUGUUUAUAUACCAAUUAUUUGAAUGUUAUGUAAAAAAGAAUAUUACAAUAAAAUGUUCAUAUGACAAUUAUUUUUGAGAAGAAUCUUACAAUAAAGUGUUUAUGUACCAAUUAUUUGAAUGUAAUGUAAAAAAGAAUAUUACAAUAAAAUGUUCAUAUGACAAUUAUUUUUGAGAAGAAUCUUACAAUAAAGUGUUCAUAUGACAAUUAUUUUUGAGAAGAAUCUUACAAUAAAGUGUUCAUAUGACAAUUAUUUUUGAGAAGAAUCUUACAAUAAAGUGUUUAUAUACCAAUUAUUUGAAUGUUAUGUAAAAAAGAAUAUUACAAUAAAAUGUUCAUAUGACAAUUAUUUUUGAGAAGAAUCUUACAAUAAAGUGUACUUAAAUCUGAAGAAUAAAAUUAAUAUUUUUUAAGAAAGGUAAUAAAUUUAUUAAUUUUUUAUGAAAAAAUUAAAUAAUUUUUAUUUCAAUUAUUAUGAUGAUUUAUUCACCAAGAUCUAUGAAUGCCUAUGAUUUUGAAUUUGCUACUUCUGAGAAUAGUGUAUAUAUAUAUUUAAUUGUAUGAACGCAUUUAAAAAUACGGGAACUAAUUCAUAUUUUCUUGUACAGGUAAUUACUGGUAAUACCGAAAUUAAUAUUUUUGAAUUGAAAUUGAAGAUAAAAAACAAUAUUAUAAAUAAUAAAUAUAUGUUAUAAUAUAAGUAUAUUAUAUUUGUAAUAAUUUCUACAUAUAUAUAUUGUAUAUUUUCUUUGCUAGAAUUACUUAUAUAUUUAUUAGUAUUAUAUAGUAUGUUUUAUAUUUUAUGAUUAAAUAAAAUUAUUAAAAAAUUUU